AUAACGGUGUCUUUAGACACCCCCUUUUGUCUUAAAAAAUUAUUC
rfam:Picea glauca, whole genome shotgun sequence.